UUAUAAUAUAUCUCCUUAAAGUCGGCUACUUACAACAAUAGUUUAAAAACCAAAGAUCUUGGCGGUGUUUUAUAUAAUCAGGGAAACCUGUUUCUUAAUAUGAUAAUCCACAAAAAUCUUACCAUAUUUUGAAAUUUCAGCUUGUAUACUACCGUUAUCUUGCAAAACUCAAAUAGCUAAAACAAAAAAUUAAAACAACAAUAAUAUAUCAGGCCAAAGUGCAGCUAAUAAUAUGGAGAUAAUGGGUUACAAUUAUAUCAAACAUACUAUAUAAAAUAUAAUAUAAACACUAUUUACAGAACUUGAAAGUAAUAAUAUUUUACUAUAAUUUUAUCAAUAAAUCCAUAAUACAUGCACAUAUCGCCCGUCACUCUCACUGAAAAAUG
rnacentral:rRNA from 1 species